UCAUGAGUUAUACUUCAUAAGUAAAGUUGUGUAUUGUCUACCCAUUAUUCACAUAUAUAAUAUUAUACUAAUUAUAUAUUGUUUGCAGAUACAUCCUGAUAUUGCUGUUAGAAGAGAGAUAGAUAGGCUCCCAGUUUUAUGUGAGAACUAUGAGAAUGGUUGUGAUUGGACUGGAAAGCUUAAGAACCAUGAGCAUGAUCACAAAGCUAUCUGUGAGUAUAAGACCAUGAGGUGUCCUCUUGGCUGUGGUAAGAGAAUUCCUCUUGGAAAGUUGAGAAAACAUGAACAAGAUGAGUGUAUAUUUCGAAAAGUCCAUUGCCCACAUUGCAGAAGCCAAAUGUUGGCUGGAGACUAUAAUGAUCACCUAUUGAGUUGUCCUAAUGCUCCUUAUGCUUGUGGUCAUUGUCACACUGAAAUGCCUAGAAGUGAAAUGGUUAGUCACAUGUUACUUAACUGCAGAGAACAAUUGUGUUGCUCUGGAUGGCAUCCGCAGGUAAACAUAUAAUAUUUUUAUAAUUAAAUUCAGUGUGGGGAAUUUCCCUGGGAAAACACCCAAACAACUAUCUGUCUACAGAAGGAGCUACACAAAAUUAAUUGUGAAUGGAUCCUUUAUGGCUUCACUUCCUGAUUAUGUCCUCACUGAUAAAAUGAUAUUCAUUGCCAAUGGCUUAUGAAUAUAAUUAAAAUCAUUCAAAAUUUGAACCACGUGUAGCUGAUAAGCUAAUAAUUAGGCAAUUUCUGAAAAACAUAGCGACUUGAGGGGAAAUUUACCUGAAUAAAAUAAGACCCAGCAACUGAGGAGAUUCACAGUGUAUUAAGCAAAGGUAAGUACAGUACUAGAUCCUUUCGCAAAAGCCCAGCACUCCUGUGAAUGAUUUGCACAAAAAUCAAAGUUGCUUUGUAGCUAAAAAGUUAAAAUGCUGGCUGUGCAAGUAGAAGUGUAUCUCCUAAAAAGAAGCACAGAUGAAGCUCACUCUUGGUAGUAGCAAAGAGGAGAGUUGGUUCUAUCUGUUUAUGGCAAAAUUAAAAGAACAGCUCUUGUGAAUCAAGGAUUUUAGAUCGCCUAAUUAUGACCAAGUUUACGGCACUUUUUCUAAAGCUAUAUCUGCUCCAUUAAGAUUGAAACUAGCAGGACAUGUAGA